GUGGCAGGCUGCAGCUAAUAGGUCCCAUGUCCCCUCUGCCCAGGGGCCCACCUGAACCCUGCCGUGACCUUUGCCAUGUGCUUCCUGGCUCGUGAGCCCUGGAUCAAGCUGCCCAUCUACACCCUGGCACAGACACUGGGAGCCUUCUUGGGUGCUGGAAUAGUUUUUGGGCUGUAUUAUGGUAAGCAUUCCCCACCCUGUCCUCCUCCACUACCCCCGUCCCUCUGUUCAGAACCUGCUGGCACCAGGCCUUUUGAUGACAGACGGCUAGGGCCUGCCCAGGCCCCGGGCUCAUGACUCACUCAUUCACGCACAGGGCCAAGGUAGGGGGCACGAGGGGAAACAAACAAGUUGGGCAAUAACAGAGUCUCAGGUCCUCCACCCCACCCCACGUCACCCCCUCUGCCUGCUGCAAUACAGCAGUAUUGCUACUUACGCAUAACUCAUGGGAGGGUGGGGAGGGCACACCUGAGAGGGAAGUCUGGGCUCAGGCCUCUCCCCCGACUCACUCUGGUGGAGGAGCUGCAGAUAGAUAUGUGUUUCUGUGUAUGUGUAUGUCUGCCUUUUUUUCUAA
rnacentral:lncRNA from 1 species